GCGAUAACUGCCGUCCUUCUCUUCUAUCUGCCCCUGUGACUAGGCGAUAACUGCCGUCCUUCUCUGCUGUCUGCCCCUACCUUGGGCCCCAAAUGGCUCAGCACUAAAGUGCCUUGAGCAGGCUCCAGCCCAAAGGUGGCCUCCAUGGUUACCACUUCCCACUCUGCUGCCCUGCCUCGCUUUCCUCCUCGGCCUUCCCGGAUGGAUGACCGAUGUCAUUCCCAGGUUCCCUAACACUCAAGCCUAGCCCCUCAGUUUCUAGCAAGCAUCAAGCUUCACUGUGUGUCUAGCCUCUCAGGAGUCAGACCUGAGAAGUAUAGCUUGGUGGAAAUUCAGUGGCAGGGAAGAAAGAAGGAAGGAAAGAAGACUCUGAGCUGGAUUCAUACACAUCAUCGCAAUUCAUCCACACCACAGUCCUGUAAGAAGGCUGCAAAACAUACAGCAGAAAGGAUGGCUUGAAGGCAAUUGAUGUUUGUAAAAAAAUCCACAACAGGAUCCAAGCUGAAGAGGUGAACACGUCAGCCUGGUGGGACAAUUCUCAGCAUGUGCAAACAUAGGUAAAUUCUAGCCUAUGUUACAUUAAAAACAAUGUCAGUG
rnacentral:lncRNA from 10 species